UGGGGAAUUUUUCACAAUGGGGGAAACCCUGAUGCAGCGACGCCGCGUGAUUUAGAAGGCCUUCGGGUUGUAAAAAUCUUUUCUAUGGGAAGAUAAUGACAGUACCAUAGAAGAAAGCUCCGGCUAAAUACGUGCCAGCAGCCGCGGUAAUACGUAUGGAGCGAGCGUUGUCCGGAAUUAUUGGGCGUAAAGGGUACGCAGGCGGUUUAAUAAGUCGAAUGUUAAAGAUCGGGGCUCAACCCCGUAAAGCAUUGGAAACUGAUAAACUUGAGUAGUGGAGAGGAAAGUGGAAUUCCUAGUGUAGUGGUGAAAUACGUAGAUAUUAGGAGGAAUACCAGUAGCGAAGGCGACUUUCUGGACACAAACUGACGCUGAGGUACGAAAGCGUGGGGAGCAAACAGG
rnacentral:rRNA from 1 species